CGCUUAAUUCUUAGUUAUUGUGUCAUUUUCACUAUUUGGGUUUAAUUAGACCAAUAAUUCAUAUUUUAAUUAAUUUGAAUUAUUUGAGCUUGAUUAUUCCUAUUUUCAUUUUCAGGGAAAUUUUGGAAAUACACUGGGAGACUUUUGGAAGGACACAAGCAAUUGAAGAAUUUCUACAGUUUCUUUUUAGAAUUAAUUAAACUUUAAUCUAAUGUUUUAGAAUUUGUAGACUUAGGUUUUAUGAUUUUGGGCCAAUUUCUGGUAGUGUAGGUAAAGCCCAAGUUGUAAAAAAAUAAACCUUGUCAUAGCUUUAGGUUUAGGGUGGACCCCACCCGAGUUUUUUUGGGACUCUCGGACCAAUUGAGACAGGGAAGCCGUCACUCUCUGGUUGGGAAUUUUUAGACCUCCUCUCGGUUUUAUGUGGUGCAUGGUGAAUAUUCUCUUGGCAAUUAGAUGUUGUUCACGGGGUCUAGUUAUGGCCUGGAGUACGGGUUUGGAUUUUGAAAAAGGAAAUAGCAUGGAAAUUGUUUUUCUCGGUAGUUGAGCUCUCUUGUUGUUACUUACGUUGCCUUUCAUUCUCUGUUUCAUUCAUUUCAUGAGUUGCUUAUAAAUGUUCUCCACUCACGGUCAAUGCAAGGACGUUGUAGACUUGGCUCUUGAAAAAAAAAAAUGAGUUGAUGGAAGUAAGUAAGCUUUUACAGUGAUUGAGUUUGAGGGAAAACUCUUUGUCCUUGCCUUUGUGCGUUUGGUGGCUGGAAGGAAACGUUGCUCCUGUUUAUGUUUUCUUUUUCUCUGCUCAUUGCUUUUACUGAGGAGAAAUGUUGUAGGGCAUUUACAAUGGGAUUGGGUUAAAUAUUAAUGGGGAAGAGAUGGGAUAGCCAAAAGCAACCGGAACUAUUGCAAAGCAAUUAUUUUUUUUGGGAAGAAGUAGAGAGGUGAAGUGUUGGGAAUCGGUCUGCAGGUGUAUUCAGCUUUUGCUGUGGCAAAACGUGUUGAUUCAAGAGAAUGUUGGCUGGAAUCUCAAAGCAUAAGUCUUAUUGUUGUUGGCUGCUGCAACAUCCUUAUCCAUAGUGCAUUGAAGCAAUGCUUGAUCAUUGGAUCUCAGUUGGAAGCUGAAAUUCACUUGGGAUCGGUGCAAACUUUAUUAUAUGGUNUGAUGUGGUUCAAAGAAAUGACACGUUACAGCAUAGUAGGAGGACAAUGCAUGAAUUGAAUUUGAAAUAGAAUUUUAAAUUGGAGAAAGUUAGUUUCUCGGUUGAAGCAGAGCAGCUGAAUGAAGAUCUCGGUUAAGUAGUUUUUUUUUAGCCAAUUCAUUUUGUCACUUUCAUAGUGAUGCAUACUCACGCUGAUUCAAGCAUUGGAGGAGUCAUGAAUUCAAUUGUUGAUGGUGUCACGGCUUUUAGGUGGCAGAUGGCAUGGAGAGAGGUUACGGUCAUGUUUUAUUUAGGUUGCAUUUUAAUAGUUUUAAUUGUGUUUAGAUAAUUGUUUGUUCUAGUAUUUGGUUAGCAUUUUCACUCUCUGGACUCGUUUUUAAAAAAAUAACUGCAACCAGACCAGAGCUCCAAAUUCUACGUUUUAUAUAUCAAAUGAAAGAUAAUUGAGUCUACUUUCCAGGAAAAAAAACCUCAUCUCAUUUAGAGCUCUGUAGAAAAAGUUAUGGUUAAAACAUUGAGCAAAGGUCAGAGCUGCCUAGUUCUAGCGUGAAUUUUCGUUUUUACAGUUUUAGUUUCAUUUUAAUUUUUCUGCAUCCACAAACAACAUUUCAAAACCCCCCCCACUGUGUUAGACN
rnacentral:lncRNA from 1 species